UUGGUCCCCAGGAGGGCUGAUCACAGUCCGGAGGCCCAGGGGCUGAGAUGGCCCAGAGAGACAAAAGGUGUGGCAGUGACAAGGAGGGUGAGAAAUGCAGUAAGUCUGGCAAAGCUCUACCUGGCAUUACGGCUGUACCCUGCUUGGGACCAGCUGACACAACGUGCCCAGCUCCACAUGCCGCAUGAUACACAUCACCGAUGGGAUCUGCAUCUCUCUUCCACCGUGUUGGCCCCUGGAUUCUUGACCAGCCCCUUCGGCAUCACAGCUCCUGAGAGGACAAUGGAAGCCACCAUUUUACAGAUGGGGCAUGCUUCAUGCCAGCGUGGAGCCCAGGGUGAGGCUUGAACUCACAACCCUGAGAUCAAGACCUGAGCCGAGAGCCAAGAGUCGGAAGCUCGAGUGACUGAGCCACCCCGGUACCCCGGGUAUGCCUUUAUUAAUGACGGUUUUACAUGUGUCCCCGUAUCCUAUCACCGCCAUGACGGAGGCUCACCCUGGGUUAAGUUGUGUGCCCAAGCAGCCCGCUGGGAAGAGAAGACAGAAGACAAGCUGCCUGUGAGCAUGAGACCCAUCCCCCACUCUAGCACGGAGGUGCUGCUGUGUUUUAAAAUCACCUUGGUGGAUUUAUAUAUUAGUGUUCUUUUCUAUUUUAAAAGCGCUUUCCCAUUGUGCUUUGGCUCACUGGGGCAAUGCUGUUCUCCUGGUUGCGCCGAUAGGCUUUUCAAUCAAAACCAAACAACAAAUCCACAUGCUUCUAUUUUUUUUAUAGAUCUCUGCUUUUUCAGGAAAAUAAAUAUUUGUUGAAUUGAAGUAGAAAAA